GUUCGUAGAACCGUUGCCUUGCAGUCGGAAGGUUCUGGGUUCAAAUCCAGCUUGGGGUCUCUCCUCUGUAUGGAGUUAGCAUGUUUCUCCCUGUGCUUGCGUGGGUUUCCUCCGGGUACUCCGGUUUCCCCCACACUCUAAAACAUGCAAUCACUUCGGUGAGCGUGGACGGGUCAGAUGGGAUGGACGGCAUCGGUAGCUCCCUGCCUGCAAUGCCUGAACCAUCCAAUCCGGUCAGCAUGAAGCAGCCGCCCGAGUCCCUGAGCACCCUGAAGGGCAGGGCGGAUAUGGGUAGCGACCCGACUCUGCUGUUGGACAAAGCCGCCACGCAGCUCGCCGCCACGCUCCAGGACGGCGUCCUCCAGAAGAUGUCCGGACAUAACCACAGCCACGAGAGGCUAAAGGACCUCACCUCUCUGGUGCUGAACGGCGACCAGGAUGCUCUGCCCAAGCUCUGCACCCCAGAGCCACCCAUGCUGAAAGGCGACGAGGCGCCCGCCACCAACGACGGCCAUCAGCACAACUGCACGCCUCAUGCCGAGGCCGAGCUGAAGGCGACCGUACCGCAGGCGGCGGAGCAGCUGGAGCCUUCCUGUGCCGACGGGACCGGUUUGGUCACAGCCACAGAGAGCGCUUCACCUGGACCUGAGUUGGGACAGGAAGUGAAGAAAAGGAGGGGGAGACCCCACAAACCAAAACUUAUUCUGAACCGCAGCUCUGUCAUCGCCAUGGAGACGCCUGAGCACAAGGAGGUUAUAGGAGAAGCGGAAGCGGCAAAUGAGGUAGAAAGCCAAAAGCCCGCGGCCGUGUCCGAACAGCCAGAGCCAAUAACAGAAGAGCGUCCCGUACCUACGCGGUUCUGUGUGGGGGAUCUGGUUUGGACCAAGGUGUCGGGGUACCCAUGGUGGCCCUGCAUGGUGACCACAGACCCAGAACUCAACAGUCAUUUCAAACAGAAACAGAAAGCCUCCAACAGCAGGUUAGGCCUCCUUUACCACAUCCAGUAUUUUGGGGACGCUCCAGAGAGAGGCUUCGUCUUUGAGAAGAACAUGGUGACCUUCACUGGGGAGGAGCAAUAUGUGGAGCUUAGCCAGAGAAACAAACCACCGGCCUCUAGCGCUGCUCAUAGAAAGAUGGCUCCCUCGGUUCCCCGUAACCUCCAGGCUCAGUGGAACAUGGGCGUCAUUCAGGCCAAAGAGGCUGUCAGCAUGGCACCGGACCAGCGCAUCGACAGCUUUGGAUUUACUUACGACGGGAAUGGGCCCCAUCUGAACCCUCUCAUUUUGGAAAAGUUGAAUAAGAAACCCACUGACGAGACGCACCGAGAGUCGGAACCCAGGCUGGACCCGGACGUCCCCUCCCUGCCAAAUCCCAUAGCUUUUCCUCCAGAGGCACAAACUCAAACAUUUGAGUCUCAGAAGAAAAAGAGACGGCCCAAAGUGGCUCAGAGUCCCGCCAAGCUAGUGAGAAAAAAGAAAGCGACUCCAGUCAAUGGUGUUGUUGUCCCCAAGAGGAGAAGGAAAGCUAAACCUGUCACGACCACUGAUGACCCAGAGGAAGCCUCGCCUCAGGUUGCUCUUCCAGGGAGGACAGAGCAAAAGAAGAGGUGUAAAAGGCCUCCAGCAGAUGCUGCAGCAGACAAGGAUCAGCAGCCCAGAAAGAGACGGAGAAGUGACAAGAAGGCAGAAAACGAGGCCUCAGUUUCAGAGGAGGCAAACAAAAAGCGGAGAAGAAAGAAGAAAACCGACAUUAAAGAUCUAAAAGAACCAAGAAAGCGAACAAAGAAGUCAAAAGAUGAGCAGAAUGUGGAGAAGCCAAAGCGGCGGAGGAAAAGAAGGCAGGAUGGAGAGAACCAGGGCGGCGCCUCCAAGCCUCCAAAGAAGAGACGCUCCUCUCCCUGUCCUGACACUGAGGGUUCAGCAAGUGAAGAACGUCCAGAUUCUCCAAGCGACAGCCUAGACGGGACAAAGAAAGGCGAACGGAAGAAAGAGUUUGUCUGUCAGGUGUGUGAGGUGGCCGGUGAGGACCUGGUGCCGUGUGAAGGCCAGUGCUGCGGCAUGUUCCACCUGCACUGUCUGGGUGGAACCCUGAAACCCGACGACAAGCUGCUAUGUCAAGAGUGCAGCAUGGGACUCCACUCGUGUUUCAUCUGCAAGCAGUCUGAGGCCGAGGUGCGGCGCUGCCACGUCCCCCACUGCGGCAAGUUUUACCACGAGGGCUGCGUCCGCCUCAACCCGCUCACCGUGUUUGACAACAAGGGCUUCCGCUGCCCGCUCCACUCCUGCCUCAGCUGCCACUACGGCUGCCGCACCAAGCAGAAGGCAACCAAAGGACGGCUGAUGCGCUGCCUGCGAUGCCCUGUGGCGUACCACGUAGGUGACCUGUGCGUCGCCGCCGGGAGCGAGACGAUCACAAACACGGCCAUCAUUUGCACCAACCACUUUAACGCCAAGAAGGGCUACAGCCACCACAGCCACGUCAACGUCAGCUGGUGCUUCGUUUGCUCCAAAGGAGGACAGCUGCUGUGCUGCGAGUCGUGCCCUGCAGCGUUCCACCCCGACUGCCUCAACAUCGCCAUGCCCGACGGGAGCUGGUUCUGCAACGACUGCCGAGCCGGCAAGAAACCAAAGUACAGAGACAUCAUAUGGGUCAAGCUGGGGACAUACAGGUGGUGGCCAGCAGAGAUCCACCACCCCAAAAACGUCCCCACAAACAUCCAGCACCUCCGGCAUGAGAUCGGAGAGUUUCCGGUCUUCUUCUUCGGCUCCAAGGAUUACUUCUGGACUCACCAGGGCCGAGUGUUUCCCUACAUGGAAGGAGACAGAGGCAGCAAGUACCAGAAGAACGGCAUAGGCAAAGUCUUUAAGAAUGCUCUGUUGGAGGCCGAGGCUCGAUUUAAGGAGAUCAAGAUCAAACGGGAAGCCAAGGAAGCUCAGGAAAACAGCCGGAAGCCGCCUCCGUACAAAUUCAUCAAGGUCAACAAACCCUUCGGCAAGGUGCAGGUCUACACCGCCGACAUCUCCGAGAUCCCCAAGUGCAACUGCAAGCCGGCCGACGAGCGCCCGUGCGGCUUCGAGUCGGAGUGCCUGAACCGCAUGCUGCAGUACGAGUGUCACCCCCAGGUGUGUCCCAGCGGGGAGCGCUGCUGCAACCAGGACUUCACCAAGCGCCUUUACCCAGACACCAAGAUCAUCAAGACCCCAGGCAAGGGCUGGGGGCUGAUCGCCCUGAGAGACAUCAAGAAGGGUGAGUUUGUGAAUGAGUACAUCGGGGAGCUGAUCGAUGAGGAGGAGUGCAGGGCCAGGAUCAAGUACGCCCACGAAAACAACAUCACCGACUUCUACAUGCUCACCAUCGACAAGGACCGAAUCAUUGACGCAGGUCCAAAAGGAAACUACUCCCGCUUCAUGAACCACAGCUGCCAGCCUAACUGCGAGACUCAGAAGUGGACUGUGAACGGAGACACCCGCGUCGGCCUGUUCGCAGUCUGCGACAUCCCAGCAGGAACCGAGCUCACCUUUAACUACAACCUGGACUGCCUCGGCAACGAGAAAACCAUCUGCCGCUGCGGCGCUCCCAACUGCAGCGGCUUCCUCGGGGAUCGGCCCAAGAACGCAAACGGCCACACAGAGCCAAAGGGAAAGCGCUUUAAGAGGAAGUACAGGAGGAGGAAAAGCGAGGGAAAGAAGAAGUCUGAAGACGAGUGUUUCCGCUGUGGAGACGGAGGGCAGCUGGUGCUCUGCGACAAGAAGAACUGCACCAAAGCUUACCACCUGUCCUGCCUGAACCUCACCAAACGACCAUUUGGCCGCUGGGACUGCCCCUGGCAUCACUGUGACGUCUGCGGGAAAAACUCGGAGGCCUUCUGCCAGCUCUGCCCCAACUCCUUCUGCAGGGCCCACCAGGAGGGGGCGCUGCGCCCCGGGGCUGCGGCGGGAGAGCUCUGCUGCGGCGAGCACGACGACGCGGAGGGAGGAGCCGGCCAGGCCCGGACUGCCGGAUCAGAGUCCAGCGGCGCCGGCCGCCCCAAAGGCUGCAGGAAGCCGGACGGAGCGGAGAGCAGAACCAAAGGCUCUAAGAGGAAAACACCGGAAGCCUGACCCGACCCGACCCGACCCGAAGAGUGGCCCUCCUCCACAGCAACAGUACGCCGCCACACAAACAGAGGCACCGUUUUCUUGUACUAGUCUGCACUGAGGUGACCGUCUGUGGUAAAGCACAAAAUCAGCUCCGGAAACGCCGCCGCUGGACUUUCCACCAACCCAGAUCCAGCAUCAUAAUCACUCACUUCUGAUUAGUGCGGCCACAACUAGAAUCUCAGUCCAUUCAUUACUGCCAACAGCAGAGCUCUAUUCUUACAUCUCUGUUUGUUUAUAUGAAAAUGAAAAAUAAAAAAAAAACCAAAACGAUGAAUGCUGUAGUAGCGUAAGACGUCAGACAGGAUGCAGGUGCUUAGUCUUUUUUUUGUAGAUCUACAAAUGUGCCAGAUGGAAGAUGGAGCAGCAGGACACUAUGGACGGGCCUCUGGUCGUCUUCGUAGCCAUAGAUCAUGUAACUGUAGACAUGUUUUAAUUUUAUGAGCUGUUUUGUUUUAGCUCACAUAUUUUAUUUAGAUUUUGUUUUUAAUAACAGCACUGGAAAUAAAAAGGGGAGGGGGAAACGAUCCUUUCCAGAAUAGCGGAGAUUAUGGAACAAAAUAAAGAGAAGAAGAAGAAAACCUGUUGAACUGGUGUGAGAGGGAAACACUACAGGAGGCUCAAUGAAGGAACGAGAGCAGAACCAGAACCACGACCCGUUAACUCCUCCUGCUUCAGCGUUUACAGACGAUCCUCCCUUUGACCAUCAUCAUCAUCAUCACUAUUUCACAUCCUGACUGAGGGCGCUGUGUCCGUCGUCUGCUGAGAUUUCUGCUGAUGUAAAGAUUUGGAUCGGCUCUUUUUUUAUGAAUUAUUCCUCAGGAGGUUUUAAAGUCUGACGUUCUCUGAUUACUGUCAAUACUGAGAAGCCCGGCCCCUCAGGCUGAUGUGCUUCAUUUAAAAAACAAGAUCAUUUAUUGAUUCAAUAAUCAAAACUGUAAAAGCGAAGCGGUUAAAUGUUCUCUUGCAUCUCGUCCCGACUUUGCUUUGAGAGUUGCUGUUUCCGUGGUGACCCCUUCAGCGCCACUUCCUGCGUUUUUCACGUUUUGUCAUCCAGAUCCUGCAGACAGUUUUUCAAACUAAAGGUGAAUUAAAUUUCGACGUUUUCAGAGGUUAAAGCGAAACUUCCGGUUUGGACUGUACGAUUAGAACUGCUGGGAUAUUAAACUGAACAUAUUUCCCAGUUUUGUUUUGGGACGGUUUCGGAUUGAGUCGGUAUUCUGGUGCUCUGAGCCUUUCUGUUUUACUCAUCGCCACCUUCUGCCGCUCGUCAAUCUGAACCUUUGACCUCUGGCCCUGUCGGAUUGUUGCAGAACGAAAGUAGGACGGCGUAUUGGGGCCGUUGUUGCUGGGCAGGGGAAAAAUCCAGCACCUUUCUGCCCAAAGAAUUAAAAAAAUACAGUUUUCUAUUAUUCCUCUUUUGGGAGAAAAAAGGGAAUUUGAGUUUCAAAAGUUAAAUAUUUACUAGGAAAAAAGUCAAAAAAAUUUUCACAUUUAUCUCAGACAUUUUGAAGAAAAAUAUUUUCAAAUAUUUUUGUCUUUUGGAAACUUUGACUUUCUAAAGUUUAAAAUGUUCAACUUUGAAAUUACUUUUAUUUAUUUAAAUUUUUUUUUUUUUUUUUUUACAAAAGUUUGACUUCAAAUUCUAAAAUGUACAAAUCUUUUCUUCUCCAAUUCCCGAAAUUAAAGUUCUUAUCUGGCAAAUGUUUUGUCUCUUCAAACUAAGAAAUUAAAAAAAAAAAAAAAGUAAUUUGAGUUUUGGCAGAAAUUGAACUCUUUCCUGCGUCUGCUGUGGCCCCGACUCGCCGUGGAAGGUCAGAGCGUCUGAAAGUUUCCUUUGUUGGUUUGGAAGAGGCACAUUGGAGCGGAUGCUGGUUGGAGCCUUCAGAUCAUUACAUUUAUCAUUAUUUCAUGUUUAAUGUCUCCAAUACUCUCUGAUCUCACCGAGGUUUGUUUUUUUUUUUCACACAGUGCUUCCCAGAUUUAAAAGGAUGCCUUUUUGAAUUAGCUGUGCCUAUUUUGUCUUUAAUUUAUUUUUCACCCAAAGAGGCGAACAGGGAUUCAUCCACUGGGGCAGCGGUUCCACUGUUUCUUCUCGGUUCCAUCAUGCAUCCUAACCUUCUGUUGACUGAAUGUAGUCCAGCCAGUUUUUCUAAUUUUUUUUUUCUCUAUUAUUAUUUUUUUUGUAAGCACUGUAAUUCCCUGUAGAGCUGAAGUGUCAUGUGUGUAGACGUUUCAUUCUAUAACUACUGUCAUAGCAAACCAGAGACUAAUAUGUACAUAAUGUAUAAGUGGUAAUAGUGAUUCAUCUAUUGUAAAUAUCAUGCAAUUUCUUGACCCUUUUUUUUUAAUGCAGUGCUGAAACACUUGUGCAGGAUCUGUUAGUGAGUCAUGCAAUAAAGUGAUGGAACCAUUAAAUUCA